UACGUAGGGUGCGAGCGUUAAUCGGAAUUACUGGGCGUAAAGCGUGCGUAGGCGGUUUGCCGUGUCCUGUGUGAAAGCCCCCGGCUCAACUGGGGAGGGUCACUCGAUACUGAUCGACUCGAAGGCAGGAGAGGGUAGUGGAAUUCCCGGUGUAGUGGUGAAAUGCGUAGAUAUCGGGAGGAACACCAGUGGCGAAGGCGACUACCUGGCCUGUUUCUUGACGCUGAGGCGCGAAAGCUAGGGGAGCAAACGGG
rnacentral:rRNA from 1 species